rnacentral:rRNA from 1 species
UGCAGUCGAGCGGAUCUUCAUUAGCUUGCUUUUGAAGAUCAGCGGCGGACGGGUGAGUAACACGUGGGCAACCUGCCUGUAAGACUGGGAUAACUUCGGGAAACCGGAGCUAAUACCGGAUAAUCCUUUCCCUCACAUGAGGGAAAGCUGAAAGACGGUUUCGGCUGUCACUUACAGAUGGGCCCGCGGCGCAUUAGCUAGUUGGUGAGGUAACGGCUCACCAAGGCAACGAUGCGUAGCCGACCUGAGAGGGUGAUCGGCCACACUGGGACUGAGACACGGCCCAGACUCCUACGGGAGGCAGCAGUAGGGAAUCUUCCGCAAUGGACGAAAGUCUGACGGAGCAACGCCGCGUGAACGAUGAAGGCUUUCGGGUCGUAAAGUUCUGUUGUCAGGGAAGAACAAGUAUCGGAGUAACUGCCGGUACCUUGACGGUACCUGACCAGAAAGCCACGGCUAACUACGUGCCAGCAGCCGCGGUAAUACGUAGGUGGCAAGCGUUGUCCGGAAUUAUUGGGCGUAAAGCGCGCGCAGGCGGUUCCUUAAGUCUGAUGUGAAAGCCCCCGGCUCAACCGGGGAGGGUCAUUGGAAACUGGGGAACUUGAGUGCAGAAGAGGAGAGCGGAAUUCCACGUGUAGCGGUGAAAUGCGUAGAGAUGUGGAGGAACACCAGUGGCGAAGGCGGCUCUCUGGUCUGUAACUGACGCUGAGGCGCGAAAGCGUGGGGAGCGAACAGGAUUAGAUACCCUGGUAGUCCACGCCGUAAACGAUGAGUGCUAAGUGUUAGAGGGUUUCCGCCCUUUAGUGCUGCAGCAAACGCAUUAAGCACUCCGCCUGGGGAGUACGGCCGCAAGGCUGAACUCAAGGAAUUGACGGGGGCCCGCACAGCGGUGGAGCAUGUGGUUUAUCGAGCACGCGGAGAGCUAACAGGUCUGACAUCUCUGACACCUAGAGAUAGGCGUUCCCUCGGGGACGAGUGACAGUGGUGCAUGAUGUCGUCAGCUCGUCUGAAUGUGAUAAGUCCCGCAACGAGCCAUCAUGAUCUAGUACAGAUCAGUGGCACUCUAGUACUGCGUAAUGGAGACGAAGUGACGCAU